ACCAGGAAGUCACUCCCCCUCUCUCUGUCACACAGUUUCAGAGAAACGAAACUAAACUCUGUCAGUGUUAGCAGUAAAAUGGCUGAAGGUGGAGUUUUACUGGAUCAGGACCAGUUGAGCUGUGCAAUCUGUCUGGAUCUACUGAAGGAUCCAGUGACUACUGCCUGUGGACACAGUUACUGUAUGGGCUGUAUCAAGGGCUGCUGGGAUCAGGGUGAUCAUACUGGUGUCUACAGCUGUCCCCAGUGCAGACAGACCUUCACUCCAAGGCCUGUUUUGAGAAAAAACACCAUGCUGGCUGAAGUGGUGGAGAAACUGAAGACAGGACUCCAAGCUGCUCCUCCUGCUCACUGUUACGCUGGACCUGGAGACGUGGCGUGUGAUUUCUGCACUGGGAGAAAGCUGAAAGCUGUGAAGUCCUGUCUGGUGUGUCUGGCCUCUUACUGCGAAAGUCACCUCCACCCUCACUAUGAAUCUCCUGCUCUUAAGAAGCAUAACCUGGUCAAAGCCACUGGAAACCUGCAGGACAAGAUCUGCUCUCAUCAUGACAAAGUGCUGGAGGUUUACUGUCGUACUGAUCAGCAGUGUAUCUGUCUGCUGUGUGUGAUGGAUGAACACAGAGGCCAUGAUACAGUCUCAGCUGCAGCAGAAAGGACUGAGAAACAGAAGCAGCUGGGGGCGACACAGAGUAAACUCCAGCAGAGAAUCCAGGAGAGAGAGAAGGAGCUGCAGGAUCUGAGACAGGCUGUGCAGUCACUCAAGCGCUCUGCACAGGCAGCAGUGGAGGACAGUGAGAGGAUCUUUACUGACCUGAUCCGCUCCAUUGAGAGAAGGCGCUCUGAGGUGAAAGAGCUGAUCAGAGAUCAGGAGAAGGCUGAAGUGAGUCGGGCUGAAGGACUCCUGGAGCGACUGGAGCAGGAGAUUGCUGAGCUGAGGAGGAGAGACGCUGAGCUGGAGCAGUUUUCACACACAGAGGAUCACAUCCAGUUCCUUCAGAGCUGUCAGUCUCUCUGUGCCCCUCCUGGUCCUGGAGACCUUCCCAGCAUCACUGUCAGUCCACACGUCUCUUUUGAGGCUCUGAGGAAAUCUGUCUCUGAACUGAAAGAGCGACUGGAGGACGUCUGCCAGGUGGAAUUAGCGAAGAUUUCUAUAACAGUGGAAGAAGUCCAUAAUGAGCCCAGGACCAGAGAGGACUUCUUACAAUAUUCCUGUCAGCUCACUCUGGACCCCAACACAGCGUAUAAACAGCUCUGUCUGUCUGAGGGGAACAGAGAGGUGACCUAUGUGAGAGAGACCCGGCCAUAUCCUGAUCAUCCAGAGAGAUUUGAGCGCAAAGCCCAAGUGCUGUGCAGAGAGGGUCUGUCUGGACGCUGUUACUGGGAGGCUGAGUGGAGUGGGGAUGGGGUUUUUAUAGCAGUGUCAUAUAAAGAGAUCAGCAGGAAAGGGCGGAGUGAGGACUGUGCUCUGGGAUGGAAUAACAAGUCCUGGAGUUUGCGCUGCUCUCCCUCCGGUUACUACUUUUGGCACAAUGCUGAGAGCACUGAAAUCCCUGUCCCCCCCUCCUCCAGAAUAGGAGUGUACCUGGAUCACAGGGCAGGAACUCUGUCCUUCUACAGCGUCUCUGACACAAUGAGCCUCCUGCACAGAGUCCAGACCACAUUCACUCAGCCCCUCUAUCCUGCGUUUAGGGUUCAUUCUGUUGGAUCCUCCGUAAAACUGUGUGAUCUGGGAUGAGGCAGCGAGUGAAGGGAAGAUCAGCUGUAAUUAAAUACAGGGAAAAACACUCAAAUGAGGCAGCAAAUGAUUUAAAUUAAAUUAAAUUAAAUUAAAGAUUAGCCAUCAAAAUUUCAGUUCUAACUGGGAUCACAUGCCAUCUGAGUCCAUUUAACACUGAACAUUUUACUGCAUAAAGGAUCUCCAACCUGAUUGAAUUAUAUAUGGGUUAAUAAAGAAAUCAUUUUUUUUUUUUUUUUUUUACAUUUAUUUGUUCCCAACUGGUAUAACAGCAUGAUUUCAUUUUUAAUUUUUGUGAUUUGUUGGGGGUGUGAAGCAGAAAACACUCGGUCAUUUGAGACAGAAAAUGAAAUAAAAGUGCCAAAUUAAU